rnacentral:misc_RNA from 1 species
AACGCAUCUUGCGCCCCUCGGCAUUCCGUGGGGCAUGCCUGUUUGAGUGUCAUGAAGUCUUCUCAAAGCCGACCCUUUGCCGGAUUAGCUUUGGACCGUGGACGAAGCUUGCGACCGUAGAGGCCGCUCGUCUUGAAAACGCAUCCGACCGAAGCGCCCCGAGGCCCCGACCGCGUAAUAAAGCGAUAUGCCGUCAAUAAAGGGUUUCGGUGGCCUUUGUUUGAACCGCUCUUGUGCCCCCUUGGCCCUGACCUCAAAUCAGGUAGGACCACCCGCUGAACUUAA